rnacentral:snRNA from 1 species
AUGCUCACUUCGGCAGCACAUAUACUAAAAUCGGAAUAGUACAGAGAUUAGCAUGGCCCUAUGCAAGGGUGACACAUAAAUUCAUGAAGAGUUCCAUAUUACU